rnacentral:rRNA from 1 species
AGGAACCUGCCUUUCAGAGGGGGACAACAGCUGGAAACGGCUGCUAAUACCGCAUGACGCAUUCGGAUGGCAUCAUCUGAAUGCCAAAGAUUUAUCGCUGAAAGAUGGCCUCGCGUCUGAUUAGAUAGUUGGCGGGGUAACGGCCCACCAAGUCGACGAUCAGUAGCCGGACUGAGAGGUUGACCGGCCACAUUGGGACUGAGACACGGCCCAG